CAACACAGGGCAGAAAUGGAGAUUAAAUUUAAACAAUGCUAGGUGACGUCACACUCAAGUGUGGGUUGUUUUUUACAAAUUAUACUAUCUGAAUGUCUCUUCCUUUUGAAGAUGAAUUUGAAAUCUGGACUGCAGAACAGUACUAACUGAAUGAGG